UUAAAGGAUGACCGAACACUGGGGUAGAAUCCGUUCUGUGUGACCCCAGGGGAGCCCAGGGAAGGCCAUCAUCCUGCUCUGGGUUGGCAGUCGGGAAGAUAAAAGUAUUGGGCCGGCUCCCUUCCUCACCUGGGCAAUCUAGACUGUUCCAGAGCAAGAGUUCCAACGAAGAAGCAUAGCACUCUGGUCUAAGCAUGGAAAACUUAUUAAUGGAAAAUUAAUGGAAAUUAAUGGAAAACUUAAACUGGUGAAUAAAAUGUACUGUCUGCCUAGCGUGCAAAAUAGCAACAAAAUUUAAAAAUACGUGUUAAGCUGUUGUUUUUACUUGACUAGUAAUUGGCAAAAUAUUACAGACUACUGAAUUUAAUUAUCAUUGUACGUGUCUAGGUCAUCUUUUGAUGAGCUGGCAAUGUUUACAUAAAUAAUAAAUAGAGGCUUAAAUAAUGAUUCUUAUAUAAUCACUACAUACAUUUU
rnacentral:lncRNA from 10 species